rnacentral:tRNA from 1 species
GGAGAGAUGGCAGAGCGGUCUAAUGCGGCGGUCUUGAAAACCGUUGGGGGUGCUGAGCCCCCCGUGGGUUCGAAUCCCACUCUCUCCGCCA